CAACGGCUCACGCUGCCUCGCGCAAGGAGCCCGGGGAAAAGAAAAAAGGAAAAAAAAGCACGGCUUGGCACUUCAUACCCGGUUCGCUUUUCCCUGCUGAAUAUAUUUCAUCUUCAGAUGCUUCAUGGAGAAUUUGGUGGGCAAGCAGAGGGAACAGAAGCUAUAAAUGCGAUCAUCAGCGCCAGGAACAUGGAAAGAACUGCAUUUCCCAAAGCACAGCAUCCAGAAUGUUUAUAGACCUCAAGCGGAAAAUAUUAGUACAUGCAGGUCCCCAGAGUGCAGACUUUAAGCAUAGUCUUCGUUCUGAGAACUGGAUGCUGGAAGAGAUUGCCUCCAUUCUCAUGGACACAUAAAACAUACAGGGGUAGAAACAAGAGACAAUAAUCUUGCCAUCCUGAGAGAAAGGAGACAGACCUCCAUUGAGACUCAGGACACAAAGGAAGAAAAGUUUUACAAAUGUUGCUACUCUCAUCCCUGCAAAUAAACAUCUGGUGUACAUAAGGUUAGUGCUCUGUCACUCAGUAGAACCUCUGUCCCAUUGCAAGGAGGUGGUAUAAUGGCUGAAGAGACUGUUGUCUUCAGAAUUAAAGAGGUAAAUAAGUUCCUGGGAAUCAGUUUCAUCCUUGCAGCCCAAAACAAUCAAGCAGCAAAACAAAAAAGAGAGUUUCACUGCCCCAGAAAGGAGCCAUUUUCGGGGUUCUGGAAGUAAAAGCAUUGUUGUAUACUUGAGGCAGUAUACCUCUGUUGGUUCUCUAUUGGGACUGAUUUACAGAGGGGGGGAAAUGGCGAUGACUUGAAGUGUCUUCAGCCUUCUUUCUUUUCAUUCCCCCCACCUGUGCUCCCCCCUUUCCUUUUCUUUCUUUUUUAAAGCAAACAGAACAACUCUCUGCAAUUGUUUGGGUCACUGAAUAUGGCAAUCGUACACCUGGACAAUCCAUGCUGGGAAAGCCACAUGGUGUGUGUGUGUGUAUUUGUGAGGGGGAGGAGACCAGGCAGAGAUAGAAACAAACACCGCCUGUGUUGCAAAUUGCCUCCCUCUCCCUUCUAUGGGUAGCUUGAGGUUUUAACUGUGUAGCUGUUGAUACGAUAUACUUUCAUCAGCACCAAGUUUUUUCUGGAAAAUUGAUUAUGCAGUGUGAGCAAUCUCCAAUGCUAUAUUUAUUAAUACAUUCAAUUUAGAUAUUACAGUAGAAAAUAGCACACAACACAUGCCAUUUAAGGUACAAAAGUAGAUUGGCACCCUUUAAGUUGAAAUAAAACCAAGCCUACAGCAGUAAAGGUAUACUUUUAUCUAGAUUAAUUCUAUCCCUUGAAAUACACAUUGCAGGAGGGAAAAAUCUAUUUUAGUGCCACUAAAAAAGGGGGGAAAACUAUGUGCCCAUAAAGGAUUGUUAUAUUUAUACAUAUUUUCACCUACUUAUCAAUAUGAAAUAAUGGUAGCUAAAAUUGGACUUCCAAAAAUUACACACAUUAUUUUUCCAACGAGCAGUCUCAGAUUUACAUAGAAGGGUAUACAUACAGAUUAUUGAUAUGUCAAAAUGAAUUGCAGUGAAUUUUUUAAUAGUGAUUUAUUAGUACAUCUCUUUUUCUCCUUUCAGAAUUUGUCAGAAUAUUUAUUCAAUUCCAGGCUUUUAUAAUAACUCAAGUGGAUUACCAAGUGUACUUUGCACAUUCUACAACACAUUCCAGUCUAUAUGAACUUCACAUAUAUUCUUCCUAUAUAUAUUUUUAUGUGCAAUUGGACUUUGUUUUCAAAUUCUACCUCCCAUUUGCAGUACAAUUCUUCCCAGCAAGCAUCCACACAAGAGGAUUGGGAAAUGUGUAUAACUUUUCAGAUUUGUCUGGCCCAGUCUAGCACCUUCAAAAUGUGUUGGACUGCAGCAUCCAGAAUUCCUGUCUAGGUUGAUUGUAAUCUCGACACAUCACAAAGUUGCAAAAAGUUGAAUGGAAUUCAAAUGUCUCCAAUGUUAAUGGAGGAAAGGAAAGAAAACUAUCAAAGAGAGGCCAGAGAAGUUUACAUGCAAACAAAGCUCAGAGCUGAUCAGGGAUGGUAGCAAAAGUUAAUACGCUUCUGUUGGGAAAUCAACUAACAUUGAUGGUUAGGGAAAUCCUAUACUACUUCAUAAUUUAUAUUCGUAACUCAUAGUCUAUUUUAAAGGGAACAUAUUUGAAUUUGUUACCAUGAGAAUUGGAAAGUUCCCCUGACAUUUAGCAAUAGCACUUAGACUUAUAUUCCACAGUGCUUUACAGCACUCUCUGAGUGGUUUACAAAUGUUAGCAUAUUGCUCUCAACAAUCUGGCACCUCAUUUUAUUGACCUUGGAAGGAUGGAAGGCUGAGUCAACCUUGAGCUGGUCGAAGUUGAACUCCUGGUUAUAGGCAGAGUUAGCCUGCAAUACUGUCAACAGGAUUGACAACUGCAUUCUAACCACUAUGCCAUCGUGGCCCCUACAUUUGUCCCAGAUAUAGACGUAAUAGAAAUUUAUCACAGAAUAAUGUGAUGCAAUUUUGUUACGGGAAUGUUUGACAUUUGUUGGAAGUUUACAUCCAGGUAUAUUAUAAAAUGGGCAUGAGCAUUAUGGAGUGGCAUAAUGUUCCUUCCCCCCCCUCCCCCCAUGUAUCUGCAACCAGUCUCAUUUGACCAAUUGAAGUGCCGGAUAUUGCCUAAAUUUCUAAAUAACAAUUGUAGUGAAUGAAACAUCCUACUCAAGAAAGAUGGUGAGUAGCAUAUGAUAUGUCUAUACUCAACUCAAAGCUCUUUCCAGUUAGCCUUUUAGCACCUUCAUAUACAUGAUCUCUAGACUGAGACAAAAACAAACUCUGGAACCAAUACAUUUGAUUCUUGACACAUAGCCACUGUUUCAGAAACACAGGAGAGCAAGAGAAAAGAUAGGACGGCAAACUGAAAACACAAUCCUGCAUCACAUUUGAACCAGUGGAAUUUUUGCAACUGGGCCAAGCAAGUAUCCAUUUAUAAGUUCCGUCGACACUUCCAACUGCCUGAAAAUAAAACACUUUUAUCAUAUAGAAAGCCAACUUUUAGGACACAAAGGAAAAGCUCCAGAAAAAUGGAAGUAUGGAGUCCUUGGUUGUUUUCUAGCAGAUGUUUCAUUACCAAGUUUAGGAUACAGUCAGGGUGACUGAAUGGAGCUGAGCUUUUACUGACCAGAUGCCCUUCCUGAUGCCUAUGUGGAGUUCACAGCAGAUACUUUCUCUUUGCAUCCUGAGAGAGAAACAUAUUUUGCUACCUAGGAUUAAACACUCAACCUUCCAAGUGGGAGGGGAGCAUCUUCACCACUAGGCUCCCACACCACUCACUCAUCAAGAGAUAAUAAAUGCACUAAUUACUUGCAGUUUAACAAUAGACACCAAGACUGGGAGUCAUUAGUAGAGUUUUAGGAAUUCUUUUUGAAAGGGCAUUUUGAAAAGGUUUUCUGCAUGCCUUUUUUAUCUACAAAUACAUUUAUAUAUAAGCAGCAAACAGCUUAUUUCAUCUAAGCAUGCUGAAAUUUUAACAUGCUCUAUAGAUAGUCUUCGACUUACAACCAUAAUUGAACCUAGAAUUAUGGCUGUAAGUCAUUGCACUUGUUAAGUAGGCCAUCAUGGUACCAUGCCCAAUUUUAUGACCUUUUCUGUGGCAGUUGUUAAGCAGAUCAUAAGGUCAUUCAGUAAAUCUGUUUUAUCCAAUUGAUAAAAGUAAAUGUCAAAAAUCAGCAAAAAAAUGAAAAAUUGCAAACAUGUGCUCAUUGGCAGUAGUAGGAUUCAAGUAAUUUAACAACCGGUUCUCUGCCCUAAUGAUUUCUUCCAACAACCAGUUUGCCAAACUGCUCAGAAAAUUAACAACCGGUUCUCCCGAAGUGGUGCGAACUGGCUGAAUCCCACCACUGCUCAUAGGUCACUGAAAACAGCUGUAAAGAUGAGCCAGUUGCCAAAGACCCAAAAUGCAAUUAUGUGCCUAUGGAGGAGGGAGGGGUCUGGCCAUCGGAACCUCAAAAUCAAGUCAUAAGUCUCUUUUGGGGAGUCCAUUGUAACUUUGAACAGUUGUUAAAUGACGAUUACCUAUAUGGUGUCUUAAUCAUGUACAAAGAUGUUCUAACUGUUUCAAACUUAAUUUUCAUAAAUUCAGCACAAGUUGGCUGAAUACUGUCAGGUGAUUAAAAUACAUAUUUUUUUUCUUGCUUGGUUAUGUUUUUCCAAUGCUUCAGUAAGUAAUUACAUAAAAAGAAAAAUAUUUUUGUUUGCCUGUGUAAGUGUGUCUCUCUCUAUGUGUAUAAUAUGUAUACAAAUGCCUCUUCUAUAGGAAAAGUUUGUAGAUCAGAUUAAACUUUAUUGCCUUAAAAUAUCUCAUCACAAAUCCAUUUACUUUGAACUGGAUUGAUUCUUCUUAUUUGUUAAAUACAUUAAUAAAACAGAGUUUACUGA